rnacentral:rRNA from 1 species
GAUGAACGCUGGCGGCGUGCCUAAUACAUGCAAGUCGAGCGAACAGACGAUGAGCUUUCUCCUCUGACGUUAGCGGCGGACGGGUGAGUAACACGUGGAUAACCUACCUAUAAGACUGGGAUAACUUCGGGAAACCGGAGCUAAUACCGGAUAAUAUAUUGAACCGCAUGGUUCAAUAGUGAAAGACGGUUUUGCUGUCACUUAUAGAUGGAUCCGCGCCGCAUUAGCUAGUUGGUAAGGUAACGGCUUACCAAGGCAACGAUGCGUAGCCGACCUGAGAGGGUGAUCGGCCACACUGGAACUGAGACACGGUCCAGACUCCUACGGGAGGCAGCAGUAGGGAAUAUUCCGCAAAGGGCGAAAGCCUGACGGAGCAACGCCGCGUGAGUGAUGAAGGUCUUCGGAUCGUAAAACUCUGUUAUUAGGGAAGAACAAAUGUGUAAGUAACUAUGCACGUCUUGACGGUACCUAAUCAGAAAGCCACGGCUAACUACGUG